AUUGAACGCUGGCGGCAGGCCUAACACAUGCAAGUCGAGCGGAUGAAGGGAGCUUGUUCCUGGAUUCAGCGGCGGACGGGUGAGUAAUGCCUAGGAAUCUGCUUUGUAGUGGGGGAUAACGUCCGGAAACGGGCGCUAAUAUAGCAUACGAUCUGAGGGAGAAAGUGGGGGUUCUUCGGACCUCACGCUAUCAGAUGAGCCUCGGUCGGAUUAGCUAGUUGGUGGGGUAAAGGCCUACCAAGGCGACGAUCCGUAACUGAUCCGAGAGGAUGAUCAGUCACACUAGGACUUGAACGGGGACAAGGCUACUGAGAGAGGCAGCAGUGGGGAAUAUGGGACAGUAGGCGGAAACCUGAUCCAGCCAUGGCGCGUGUGUGAAGACGAUCUUCGGAGAGUAAAGCACUUUAAGUUGGGGGAAAGGGCAGUAAGUUAAGAACUUGCUGUUUUGACGUUACCAACAGAAAAAGCACCGGCUAACUACGUG
rnacentral:rRNA from 1 species